rnacentral:rRNA from 1 species
UACGUAGGUGACAAGCGUUGUCCGGAUUUACUGGGCGUAAAGAGCGCGCAGGCGGUCGUUCAAGUCGAGUGUGAAAGCCCCCGGCUCAACUGGGGAGGGUCAUUCGAUACUGAUCGACUCGAAGGCAGGAGAGGGUAGUGGAAUUCCCGGUGUAGUGGUGAAAUGCGUAGAUAAUCUGGAGGAACACCGGUGGCGAAGGCGGCAUCCUGGACCGACACUGACGCUGAUGCGCGAAAGCCAGGGGGAGCAAACGGGG